UGAUAAUCAUAUAUAAGGGUUGUUAAGUUUUUAAGAAAGAUCUUUAACUAAAUAGAUUGAUAAGUAAUAAACACCUUGUUAAACAAAACAAUAAAAUGUGUCACUGUGAAACAUCUUUCUGAGACAGUUCAUUUAGAAUUUAAAAUCACUGCAUACAAUCAUUUUGUCAAAUUAGUAUACACAAAAGGAUUAUAGAAAUAAAAAUUAACAGCUGUAAAAACAAACAGCAAUUAAUCAGAUUAAAAUGUCAGGGGCAAUGCCACUAUUACAGAUAUUUUAUCUAAUUAGCAAAAUAUUGCUAAUAUUUAGACAUUAUAUACAUUGUUUGUACUAAAAAAUAUUUUCAAUAUUGUGACAAGCACAC
rnacentral:lncRNA from 1 species